CAGUGUUGGGCAAGUUACUGAAAAUUAGUAAUUAGCUAGUUACUAGUUACUUCUUUCAAAAGUAAUUGAAUUACCGUACCAAUUACAGUAUAUCAAAAGUAAUUAGUUACUAGAGAAAGUAACUUUUGAGAUACUUUUAAGUCUGCUUUUAAAAUGUCAAUAUGAACAGUACUGAACAGUCACACACACAAUAAACCUAAUUUUUAGACCUAUUUAUUGUAGUUUCAACGGGCCUUCAAAUCAAUAACCUUGUGCAUGAGUUCUCAAACUUUUUCUGACCACAAAACAUUCUACAAUGCAUGAAGGCUUCCCUGACCUUGUUUUGCGCCACCCUCAUCAUCAAGGUGGUUUGAUAGAUAUGUACAGUACACUGCCUACUGCUUGCCUUCUACUAUACUACUACUACUAGUAGUAGUAUGCAUGGUGGUGCACUGACACUGAAUUCUGCAAUAUAGU